UGGACCCGCAAUGGGUCGGCCCGGGGGAUUCAACCGGUCCGUUACGUUCGGGACGCGCGGGGGACUAUGCGGAGCUGUAAAGCCCGUGCCUUCGCCGUGGUCUCCGGGCGGACCGGUGCACUUUCCUCGGGUCGACGGCCACGACCGGCUCUCCGUGCGGCCACAAGCCUGUCGCUGGGAAGGUGACCGUCGGCCCCCGCGCCGGCGGCGUUACAGCCCAGCCAGUUCGUUGAGCUCGUCGGAGGGCCGAGGAAGCUUGCCGCUUCUCGUCCACCCUCCCGCCAUCCUUGCUCGUCACGACCGGGGCGGACUGGUCGGUCAGUGCUCUCCCGACCGCGAGCGUAGGAAGGGCGGGUACGGUGCGAGAAUUUGCUUCGGGCCGGUGGCGAAUCGGUCGGUCCUCCAUCC
rnacentral:rRNA from 1 species